GAAAGCUAGAUAGCUCUGUGCUAAAUAAUUCAAGAAGAAUUUGACAGUUUCUAUAUUCCUCUUCGUGUUUCUUAAUAAUGAUAUACAGAGCCAUUGCUGGUCAAUCUCCACUUAAAUAAUUCUAGUUAUGACCUCGGCUACCCUAACAUACUCCGGUAAUGGUAGCGAUAACAUUGUGCAUCCGAAUAAUGUUAUACCUACAACAGGAAUGGAUUUGACCCUGCCCUUCACAGUUUUCAUUUAAUUUCAAAUCCUGGUCUACUGAAGAUGUAGAUCUUUGGCUGUUUAACAGCAAUUCUCAU